UACGAAGGGAGCUAGCGUUGUUCGGAAUCACUGGGCGUAAAGCGCAUCGUAGGCGGAUGUGUCAGUCAGGGGUGAAAUCCCGGAGCUCAACUUCGGAACUGCCUCUGAUACAGCACGUCUUGAGUCGGAAGAGGUGGGUGGAAUUCCUAGUGUAGAGGUGAAAUUCGUAGAUAUUAGGAAGAACACCGGUGGCGAAGGCGGCCCACCUGGUCCGGUACUGACGGCUGAGGUGCGAAAGCGUGGGGAGCAAAAC
rnacentral:rRNA from 1 species